AAAUUGAAGAGUUUGAUCAUGGCUCAGAUUGAACGCUGGCGGCAGGCCUAACACAUGCAAGUCGAACGGUAACAGGAAUCAGCUUGCUGAUUUGCUGACGAGUGGCGGACGGGUGAGUAAUGUCUGGGGAACUGCCCGAUGGAGGGGGAUAACUACUGGAAACGGUAGCUAAUACCGCAUAACGUCGCAAGACCAAAGAGGGGGACCUUAGGGCCUCUUGCCAUCGGAUGUGCCCAGAUGGGAUUAGCUAGUAGGUGGGGUAA
rnacentral:rRNA from 1 species